rnacentral:tRNA from 1 species
UGUAAAAUCAGCUAUGAAGCUAAUGAGUUCAUACCUCAUUUAUGGUUAUAUAU